rnacentral:rRNA from 1 species
UCCCUACGGGGGAGCAGCAGUAGGGAAUCUUCCACAAUGGACGCAAGUCUGAUGGAGCAACGCCGCGUGAGUGAAGAAGGUUUUCGGAUCGUAAAGCUCUGUUGUUGGUGAAGAAGGAUAGAGGUAGUAACUGGCCUUUAUUUGACGGUAAUCAACCAGAAAGUCACGGCUAACUACGUGCCAGCAGCCGCGGUAAUACGUAGGUGGCAAGCGUUGUCCGGAUUUAUUGGGCGUAAAGCGAGCGCAGGCGGAAGAAUAAGUCUGAUGUGAAAGCCCUCGGCUUAACCGAGGAACUGCAUCGGAAACUGUUUUUCUUGAGUGCAGAAGAGGAGAGUGGAACUCCAUGUGUAGCGGUGGAAUGCGUAGAUAUAUGGAAGAACACCAGUGGCGAAGGCGACUCUCUGGUCUGCAACUGACGCUGAGCUCGAACGUCUGCUC